AAGGAAAAAGACGUUGAGGCUGUUUAGACAGAACAGUAUUAAUAGCGGCAAACCAAACUUUUCUCCUGUAGCAGCACUUCAUUAUAAUUCAGACAGAAUGACAGAUCAGAAACGGAUCAUUUUACCAAACCAGCAGAAAGACAAUUUUCUGAAAAAAAUGUUUUCAGAAAAAAUUAAAAACUUCAAAAUAAUUUUCAAAACUCAAAAGUAUCCAAAUUCUGUUUCAGCAUAUACUUAAAUUAUAAAGACUGUAUUAUGGUGUAUUAGAUUUGGAUUCUAUUAAACAGUAUAUAAUUUAUUUUAAAAUAUAAUCUGAAUGGGACUAUGCUGUUUGUUUAUUGUAUGCCACAAAUGGUUUAUGAUAAAUGUUAAACAUUAAUGUUAAACUGUCACGGUUCUAGUAUGACCAAUUUUCAAUGUAGUAUCAUUACAAAUAACAUAAAUUAAAUUUAUUAAAGGUCAUUUUGUUGUUGCAAAUGCACAAUUCACAGAAAGAAAUGAAAGCUUUAAAAACAUGAAAAAUAAAAACAAGCUGAAAACUG